GUCUACGACCAUUCUACCCUGAACAAGCUCGAUCCUGUCUAUCUCAGAAGCUAAGCAGGGUCGGGCCUGGUUAGUACUUGGAUGGGAGACCACCUAGGAAGACCAGGUGCUGUAAGUG
rnacentral:rRNA from 1 species